AGGUCACCGACGGGGCCGGGCUGCGGGGGGCGGAGGGACGGAGGGAAGAUGGCGGCCGAGGCCGGAUAUUGGCGCCGCCUCCCCCAAUCCUGGAGCCGGCGCAGAUGAGGCGGCUCGGCUGGGGCCAGCGGCGCUUCGGAACCCGAGCUGGGGGGACCCUGGCGGUGGGGCCUGGCCCUGCUGUAUGCCGGCGCCUCGGCUAGAGUGAGCGGCGGCGGCGACGCCUCUUUGCCCUGGCCCUCUCCCUGUCGCUGUGAGUCCGAGCGGGUGGCAGGCGGCACAGGCGGCGGGGCCGGGAUGGAGGACGUUAACUCCAACGUGAACGCGGACCAGGAGGUGCGGAAGCUGCAGGAGCUGGUGAAGAAGCUGGAGAAGCAGAACGAACAGCUGAGGAGCCGCUCGGGGGCCGUGCAGGGCGUCGGCUCCCUCGGGCCCGGCAGUCCGGUUCGGGCUGGCUCGUCCACUCCCUCCUCCGGCGCGGCGUCCCCUCGGGGCUUCCCCUUGGGCCUCAGUGCCAAGUCCGGCGGCGGGGUCGGGUCGGGCCCGAGGCGGACGAGCAGCGAGGAGCUGCGGGACGCCACCUCCUUGCUGGCAGCGGGCGAGGGCGGCUUUCUGGACGAGGUGGAGCCGCUGCGGCCCGAGGAGCUGGAGCGCCUGUCGGGCUGGGAGGAGGAGGAGGAGAGCUGGCUGUAUUCAUCACCAAAGAAAAAACUUACACCAAUGCAGAAAUCAGUUAGUCCAUUAGUUUGGUGCAGGCAAGUUUUGGAUUACCCAAGUCCUGAUGUUGAAUGUGCUAAAAAGUCUCUUAUCCACAAACUUGAUCAAACUAUGUCAGCUCUCAAGAGGCAGAAUUUAUAUAAUAAUCCUUUCAACUCCAUGAGUUACGCAAGUCCUUACAGUCCGAAUGCAAGUAGCCCAUACAGCAGUGGUUUCAAUUCUCCAUCCUCAACCCCAGUGCGACCUCCUGUAGUCAAACAGCUAAUACUUCCUGGAAAUUCAGGUAAUUUGAAAAGUUCAUCAGACAGAAAUCCUCCACUCAGCCCUCAGUCCUCUAUAGACAGUGAGUUAAGUGCUUCAGAAUUAGAUGAAGAUUCAAUUGGAUCCAAUUAUAAGCUAAAUGAUGUAACUGAUGUACAGAUUCUAGCUCGGAUGCAGGAAGAAAGUCUCCGUCAGGAGUAUGCAGCCACCACAUCUCGGCGCAGUUCUGGUUCAUCUUGCAAUUCUACAAGACGGGGUACUUUUAGUGAUCAGGAACUUGAUGCGCAAAGUUUAGAUGAUGAAGAUGACAAUAUGCAUCAUGCAGUAUACCCUGCUGUUAACAGGUUUUCACCAUCACCACGCAAUUCACCUCGACCAUCACCUAAGCAGUCACCCAGAAAUUCACCUCGUUCACGAUCUCCUGCUCGGGGAAUAGAAUAUAGUAGAGUGUCCCCACAGCCUAUGAUUAGCCGCUUACAACAACCUCGCCUUUCACUUCAAGGUCAUCCCACAGAUUUACAGACAAGCAGUGUCAAAAAUGAAGAAAAACUGAGACGCAGUCUUCCAAACCUGUCCCGAACAUCUAGUACACAAGUUGACUCAGUGAAAAGCAGCAGAAGUGACUCAAAUUUUCAAGUGCCAAAUGGAGGAAUACCUCGCAUGCAACCUCAGGCUUCAGCCACUUCGCAAAGGCUGAAAAAUUUGCCUCGUACUUCCCUCAAAGCCAAACAGUUGCUUCCAACUUCAUCUACAAAAAGAGCUAGAACUUCCAGCACUAUGAAUAAGAGUGACUUUUCCAGAAUACUCUUUGAAGCUUAUGAUCCUGUGAACUGUACUGUUCUUGCUCCUAUCAGAAACCUGUGUUCUACCAAAACAAAACCCUGGCUGAAAGACUACCAACUAUGGGAAAAGCUAGGACUGAAGAUGGCCUUUUUGGAGUUGGUACUAGAAGGAGGAGGUCCAGGCCACACCCUCAGUACCUUCUCCAGGCAAAUUCCGCUCCCCUGCAGCACCAUCUCCUUUGGCUCUCCGGCAACCAGUAAAAGCAUUUAGUAACCAUGGCUCUGGUUCUCCUGGUAGCCAAGAAACAACACAGCUCACACAGACCACCUCCUCACCUGGGCCUCCCAUGGUUCAGAACACAGUCCCAGCAAAUCCUCCCAACAAUAUCAACAGCACUACUCUAACCAGACCUGCAGGGACAACCGCGAUGAGAAGUGGCUUGCCCAGACCCAGUGCCCCUUCUGCUGGGGGUAUACCAGUGCCUCGCAGCAAACUUGCACAGCCUGUUCGCAGAUCCUUGCCAGCUCCUAAAACCUAUGGUAGCAUGAAAGAUGACAGUUGGAAAGAUGGCUGCUAUUGACCAGCAAAGAUGGGAAUGCAGAGGCCCACAGCUUCAUGGAUACCCCUUCACCAGGCUAAAAGACAACUUUUACAUGCAGACUGUUCAGAUAAGACUCUUGGGGUUUAUAAAUCCCAGCCCUCUCUGUCUUAAUUAGCACAAACUGACAGAGAUGAUCAAGCAGCACUUUAAUGACAUUUAACAUCAGAUGUGUUUGGUAAUCAUACAAUCACUCUCCAUGGAAUCACAUUUAGUUUUGUUUAGUAGAAACUAAGUUGAUUUUUAAAUAUUUGACAGGCCAAUAUCUGGGCAAAAAACUAAUGGAUGCCAAAGAGAAAUGCCCAUUUGUAAAUGAGAGAAUACCUUUGUGCACAAGAAAAUGGUGAAUUCAAGCUAUCCAAAACUUCACAUUCAACCUAAUUUACUGUAUAAAUAGCAUCAAUAAAUAUUUGUGUUAAUGAGAACUAAUAUUCUGACUAAUUAUCUAAAAUGUUUCACUAGUGUUUCACUAGUACUCCAAGAAACGAAAUUGAGAUGGAAGGGAGGAUGGGGGUGGGAAGAAAUCUAGGCUAGAGAUUUCAAACAUGAUACCUGAUGUAUCAGAAAAACUGUCAUUUUGUUUAAUCUUAAGUUUUGGAUGUAGCUCACAUAUCACCACCAUCAGAUAACGUUACACCGUGCAUCCACUGUAUUGCAUUGACAUAUCGGACUUCUGCGUGUUUGUUUUGAUUGCCAAAAGGGCUUAAUAUCAGUUGUACAAUCUUUCUAAACUUUAUAGCUCCUGGCUCAGGAAAGAUAGCCUUUGCUAUUGAAGCCGACUUCUUCACAUGCUAUUACAUCUGUUACAGAACUAAGAGAUUGUCUUUUUAUUAGCAGGUUUCCAUGAUAGGAAAGAGCAAGUAGUAUGUGUCUUUAUUCUUGAUAUAACUAACACCGCCUCAGUGCUUACAACCUGGAACGAUACCAUACCAUGAGAGAGAGGGGGAAAAAAUCUAUGCACUUAACUUAUAAAAUCUCUGGUAAUGACAGUUGUAUUGUUACUAUUAAUUGACACAAUGGUCUAUUAUGUGGUAGGAAGAUAGAGCCUGCUGAAUCCUACUUAAGUUGAUCCACUUUAAACUAGGUAACUGUGUAAAACCUCGUUUGAAAAUACUGUCCCUUUUGACUUGGAUUCUGCCUUACAUUAAUUUUUACAUUUUUGGUAACAAAUGAAACCCACUACAUAUGACUCUAAUCUGUUAAAUACUUGCUCUCUAGUGGCCCUUAUGUAUAUCCUGGAAAUCACUUAUUUUGGUUUUAUUAGACAAUUACCAGACUAAAACUUCCUUCAGCGGGCUUCUCAUUUUUCAUGGUGAGGUCUGUUUUAAAAUACUUAAUUUGAAUGGCUCUGAAAUAUUGGCAGUCAGGUUACCUAAAGGAUUUUAGAGACUUGAACAUAAAUUCAUUUCCUGUUAGUCAAAGACAUUCUGUAAGUUGGCAAAAGAAAUUGAGAGACAAGUGAGAGACUUGAUAUUCAGGAUAGCAUUGAGGUUGAUAGGUUGAGAGAAUGAUAAAAUGUUUAAAACCAAGGCCCCAAUUCUGCCGUGACACCAUGGUAUUUUUUAUUAGCUUGACCAAUAGGGAGUCAUUCAGUUAGCACAUGCAGCUGGAGAUUUAAACUGCCAGUGCUAAUGUAUUUUGGUGUAUAAUGCAAGGGAGAAAUUGUAUCCUUGAAUUUGAGGGUGAUGGGUGUGGGUCAGGGAAGGGCGGCGCCAGAAUUCCACAUGAUGAUGAACUAAAAAAUGUUGCUGUUCAGAGGAAGAUAAAGCAUCUGCUUUGGGUGGGGGGUAACUCAUGUAAAAAUCUAAGGAAAAGAAAGAACUAGCCACUGUCUCUUUUUAAAACCAUACGUACACAAAACAAAAUAGGUCUCAGUUUCAGUGCAACAUUGCAAAAGAAAAAUAUGCUGCAAUCUAAUAAUUACAAGGAAUUUUAACUCUAUUUGAAACACCCAUUACAUUAAGUUAGAUUAUCUGUUUCAAAAGGAGUAUUCAGGUUAUUUAACUUUGUUUUUAAAUGGCUGCAUCAGAAAAAAAAUGUCUAUUUUUUUUUUUUUAUUAAAAUGCUUCAUCACUUGUUAGAAACGUAUUUGGGUCUGAGUUGGGUAAAGCAUUAUUUUACCUGCGGUUGUACAACCACAGACUAUUGGCUUUUAGGUUCCUAAAGAGAAAAAUUGCCUUUUCACUAGACGGCCUUUGUGUGUUGCCAAUUUUUCUGUUUGGGAAUAUCUAAGGAUUCACUGUGGUUAGUCUUACAGAAGAAAUGUGGAUUUGAUAAACUAGUGCCUAUGAUUUUAACUUAUGUUUGAUAUAUAGUAGUAAGGGUUUUAUGAAUGUUGAUUAUUUUUCUGUGCCAACAGCCCAGAAUUGUCACUUAUAUGUAAGCAGAAAGCUAUGAGCUCUGCUUCCAAAGUUAUUUAAUUUUCUCAGUGUUUGAAUGUUAUUUUUUUGUAAGUGUGUUAAUAAAAGUGUAAAAAAUUGGAAAAAAUAUAAAUAUUCUUAACUCAAGCAUUUGCUGGAUCAUUUUUCUACAGAACUUGUUUGUAUAAUAUAAAACACUCUCUGAAGAGUUGACUUUUUUCAGUUUUCAUGCCCUGGAAAUCACAUUUUGUAAAACUGGGGACCAUUCAUAAUUGUCAGAUACUUUUUAAAAUUAUCUCAAUAUAUCACUUUUAUAAGAGUUUUUUUGAAAGGAAAUUAGAUACAUGUGUCCCCAGACAUUUGUAUAACUCCAGAAUGAUCUAGACUAUGUAUGUUUAAAUUUUUAUUGAAUGUACAGACAUCCAUUUUUGACAUUACGCAUGGUCCUUUUAGAUCACAUGAAGUUUGAUUUGCAAACAUUUCUAUAGCUGAACUUGUAUGUGUGGUUGCCUCCUUAAUAAAACAGCCUGACCAUAAUGUUUAUUAUUAAAUUUA